rnacentral:rRNA from 1 species
AACGAACGCUGGCGGCAGGCUUAACACAUGCAAGUCGAGCGAGACCUUCGGGUCUAGCGGCGGACGGGUGAGUAACGCGUGGGAACGUGCCCUUCUCUACGGAAUAGCCCCGGGAAACUGGGAGUAAUACCGUAUACGCCCUGUGGGGGAAAGAUUGAUCGGAGUAGGAACGGCGCGCGUUGGUUUAGGUGGUUGGUGGGGUAAUGGCCCACCAAGCCGACGAUCCAUAGCUGGUUUGAGAGGAUGAUCAGCCACACUGAGAGUGAGACACGGCCCGGACUCCUACGGGAGGCGGGAGUGGCUAAUCUUGGCCUAUCGGGUCAAUCCAGAUGGAGCCAUGCCGGGUGAGUGAUUAAGUUCUUAGGGUUGUGAAGCUCUUUCAUCUGGGAAUAUAAUGACGGUACCCGAAGAAGAAGCACCGGCUAACUUCGUG